GACGUAGGGCGCGAGCGUUGUCCGGAUUUAUUGGGCGUAAAGAGCUCGUAGGCGGCUUGUCGCGUCGACUGUGAAAACCCGCGGCUCAACUGUGGGCUUGCAGUCGAUACGGGCAGGCUGGAGUUCGGUAGGGGAGACUGGAAUUCCUGGUGUAGCGGUGAAAUGCGCAGAUAUCAGGAAGAACACCCGUGGCGAAAGCGGCUCUCUGGGACGGUACUGACGCUGAGACGCGAAAGCGUGGGGAGCGAACAGG
rnacentral:rRNA from 1 species